AUUAACAAAUUCUAUUCUAAAAUAUUAUCAAGUUCUAUCUAAACAAAUAGCCAUCAAUUCACACUCUAAUUACCAUUAUCUAUUAUUGUUAACUAUUACAAUAACUAAUUGACUUCUAAUAUCAUCUAUUAAUCUAAUUACCUAAAAUAAACCUAUGCUAAUCCUAAAUGUUAAUAUCCUUAAUCAAAAAAACAGGAGUAAGAAUCUCACAAGAAUGGCCCGAACAACAACCAGGACAUUAAGGCCCACCCCCAAGGCCCAUUAGCCUUUGCCUUUGCAGGCAAUGGAACAGAAUUUGAUGUGAAUAAUCACCCCUGGCCUGACUUGGAGCCCAAAGCCCAAAUUAAUACACAAAGAAAGAUCCAAAGGCUCGCCUCCUCCUUUCUCCCUCACGCGGCCGUGACCGAUCGGGAAGAAAUAAGUCGCGCCGGCUUCGUGGCCAGCAGCGGCUAUCCCCGGCGAUGACGCCAUCGGAGCCUCGAAUCUAAAUAGAAGACCACCGCUCUCAAACGAAUCGAGACCUUAACACCGUGCAUCAAUCGACCUGAACACGGGAAUGCAAAAUGACAUUUACCUUUGAAAACUUCGGUGUUACAGCGUCGAUAUUCGGUUCACGAUCUCCUCGUGCUCCUAGCUCACGCUCGUCAUCGUUCGCCGAAGUUCGAAUAUGGAUCUAUCAUUACGCGUCAAUAUUCUUCCGAUGCUUGGAUCUGCUUCGCUUUUCCAUGAAUUACGUCGUUGUGAUGUGAAGGUGGAACUGUUGAUUGAGGAAAGGGAAGGAGAUGAAGUGAUAGGUUCCUGCAGAAAUUCCUUUGAAGAACUUCUGCUAACAAAAACGAGAAGAGCAAGAAAGAACUUCUGGAAAAAGAGAAAAAUCGCGAGAAAAGAAGGAGAUUCUAGAAAAAUUCGCCAGCCCUUUCCAAGCUUGGAGUGGUCGGCUUAGGCUUGUGUUCACAUCUGCGUAUUGUAGCUGCUUGAAGUUGGUAUCUGGCUUGUUUGCACACUUGGGAGUUAGCAUGCGUUGCCGUUUUGGAAUUCCUGCCUUUUGAACUGCAUUAAUGUUGCAGCUAGUUCUACUCAUUGUCGUUUGUAGCUUACGUUUCACAUGGCAUGGCUUUGAUGCGCCGUUGCGGAUUUUUGCGGUAAUGCUGGCUUGGAGUGAGCUGCAGUCGCGUUACUGAUAUGAUUUACAGCGUGAAUACACUGGCUUUUGCAUCCUUUUGGUGGCUUAUGGUUUGGUUGUGUUGUUUUAGUUGCGUUUACCGCAGCUUCUUGGCUGCGUUUAGAGCUAGCUCACUUUGGAUUGUUGCAUUGGCUAUUACUGUUUUGUUUUAUGUGGGAUAAUUAAUUAAAAAAAGAUUAUUGUAAAAUGGAAUAUGGAUUUUGAUAGUGGUUAA